GAUGAACGCUGGCGGCGUGCCUAAUACAUGCAAGUCGAGCGAACAGACGAGGAGCUUGCUCCUCUGACGUUAGCGGCGGACGGGUGAGUAACACGUGGAUAACCUGCCUAUAAGACUGGGAUAACUUCGGGAAACCGGAGCUAAUACCGGAUAAUAUAUUGAACCGCACGGUUCAAUAGUGAAAGACGGUUUUGCUGUCACUUAUAGAUGGAUCCGCGCCGCAUUAGCUAGUUGGUAAGGUAACGGCUUACCAAGGCAACGAUGCGUAGCCGACCUGAGAGGGUGAUCGGCCACACUGGAACUGAGACACGGUCCAGACUCCUACGGGAGGCAGCAGUAGGGAAUCUUCCGCAAUGGGCGAAAGCCUGACGGAGCAACGCCGCGUGAGUGAUGAAGGUCUUCGGAUCGUAAAACUCUGUUAUUAGGGAAGAACAAAUGUGUAAGUAACUAUGCACGUCUUGACGGUACCUAAUCAGAAAGCCACGGCUAACUACGUG
rnacentral:rRNA from 1 species